rnacentral:rRNA from 1 species
UACGAAGGGGGCUAGCGUUGUUCGGAUUUACUGGGCGUAAAGCGCACGUAGGCGGAUCGUUAAGUCAGGGGUGAAAUCCUGGAGCUCAACUCCAGAACUGCCUUUGAUACUGGCGAUCUUGAGUCCGGAAGAGGUGAGUGGAACUCCUAGUGUAGAGGUGGAAUUCGUAGAUAUUAGGAAGAACACCAGUGGCGAAGGCGGCUCACUGGUCCGGUACUGACGCUGAGGCGCGAAAGCGUGGGGAGCAAACAGG